GAGGGUACAGCUCAGUAGGAGAACACACGCUUAGUAUACAUGAGUUCCUGGGUUCAAUCCCCAGUACCUCCA
rnacentral:tRNA from 1 species